CGGCACGGGUGCGUAACGCGUAUGCAACCUACCAUCAACAGGGGGAUAACACUGAGAAAUUGGUACUAAUACCCCAUAAUAUCUCAUGCGGCAUCGCAUGGGGUUGAAACUCCGGUGGUUGAUGAUGGGCAUGCGUUGUAUUAGCUGGUUGGUGAGGUAACGGCUCACCAAGGCGACGAUACAUAGGGGGACUGAGAGGUUAACCCCCCACAUUGGUACUGAGACACGGACCAAACUCCUACGGGAGGCAGCAG
rnacentral:rRNA from 1 species